rnacentral:snRNA from 1 species
AUUGCUUCUCGGCCUUUUGGCUUAGAUCAAGUGUAGGAUCUGUUCUUAUCAGCAACAUACUUGUAAUCCAAGGCAUUUGUAUACCAAAGCCAAUAUCCCCA